rnacentral:rRNA from 1 species
CCUACGGGUGGCAGCAGUGAGGAAUAUUGGUCAAUGGACGAGAGUCUGAACCAGCCAAGUAGCGUGAAGGAUGACUGCCCUAUGGGUUGUAAACUUCUUUUAUAUGGGAAUAAAAUGUUCCACGUGUGGGAUUUUGUAUGUACCAUAUGAAUAAGGCUCGGCUAACUCCGUGCCAGCAGCCGCGGUAAUACGGAGGAUCCGAGCGUUAUCCGGAUUUAUUGGGUUUAAAGGGAGCGUAGGUGGAUUGUUAAGUCAGUUGUGAAAGUUUGCGGCUCAACCGUAAAAUUGCAGUUGAAACUGGCAGUCUUGAGUACAGUAGAGGUGGGCGGAAUUCGUGGUGUAGCGGUGAAAUGCUUAGAUAUCACGAAGAACUCCGAUUGCGAAGGCAGUUCACUGGACUGCAACUGACACUGAGGCUCGAAAGUGUGGGUAUCAAACAGGAUUAGAUACCCGAGUAGUC